GGAUGUGAGGGUGAUUUGGCUGCAACAUCUGUCACCCCUUUGAUUGCCAGGGUUGAUUUGGCUGAUCUGACUGGCUAGGUGGAUGUCCCUUUCCUCCCUCACCACUCCAUGUGCAUCCCUCCCAAAGCUGCAUGGGAGGACUGCCUUCCUGGAAUAGAGAUGGACAGGUCUUCUUUCGAGAGUAUUCGAGUAGCUGAGCUCCCCUGACAGAACCUUCAAAGAAGAUCUCAAGAGUCUAGGAACCAAUAGACCAGAGGUUACCCCACACCAUAUUACUGG
rnacentral:snRNA from 1 species